rnacentral:lncRNA from 1 species
UUGUCAGUUUUAUUGAGCUGUUAUUAAUAUCUGCUGUUCAACCAGUUUCCUUACUUCCCUACUUCCAUUAAAGGAGACAACCAAGUAUAAAGAGCAGAUACAAGUGACUAAUGGAGAUGUAAGAAGAGCUCAGAGUGGUCAAAGCAGGAUCUUACAUGUUAGAUACUUAAGAGGAAAUGCAUCUUAUAAUGUCCUGCUCAUUGCAGCUGGUUCACAUGGAAAUGAUGAGUUCUGUGAAGUACAACUGAACCCACCCAUGAGCUCUCUAAUGUCUACUGGCAAAUUAGAAACUACAAAAUAGUCUGUAGUGAGGUCUUCAGAUACUGAGGUCUGGAAAAUUAAUUAGAAAACUACCUCUUUCUGAAUAAUUCAGAUCAGCAAUAUUCUGAGGGUAAUUUACUGGUACAAUUAAUUUACAAAUAAGAAAACAGAUAGAUGCCACUGCCAAUGUUUAUGUGAUGUUAUGAGCUUGCAAUUAAAUAAUUACAUCUAAGUAGAUGCUGUAUAAUAUAAAAAAAGGCAUAGAGGGUAUUUAUUAUCAACAUACAUCCAUGACCUCUGUUUUAUCAAAUGCUACAGCUUAUAGAGCUGGAAGUUACUCAAAAUUAAUGGACUUCCAUUAUGA